CUAUGUUUUCCUCUCCCAGAUAGUAAUUAAAUCAGAAAUCCUACACUUGGAGGUCUGACUGCUUUUUAAAAUAAUUUAGUAGUCGAUAAUAAGUCUUUAAUGAUUAUGCUUCAAGUUGGGAACUUUGUCCUCUGAAACUGUUCUGUUGUUUAUUUAUCCAGCCACUUGCUUUCUUCUAGGCAAGUUUGGCAGACAUAGUCCAUGAUAACUCACGUGCUGCUCGCAAGCUAAUUUAAGCUAAUAAAAAAUAACCGUAUGAUAGCAAAGUACUCAGCUGGGAGGAGACCUUUUCAUCCUAUCCAGCAAUGCACAUUUGAGUCAGAUGCAGGCACUGGAUAAAUGCUUUGCAAGGAUACCUAGGAGUAAGUACUUCUUUCUCCAGGAGACAAUGCUGUUUUUAAGUUGCAGAUUGUUCGAGGUUCUAUAAAAUAACUGUUUGACUGUUGUUGGGUUGGUUGCUGUUAAAUGUUUUCUAUCUGCGACCAAGUGUUUUGAACUACCGUUGUUCUGAGGUCUUGAGCUUAUUGUUGUUUUGAGUCAGACUUACACAGAUGGGGAGACAAAAUGAGUGUUUCCCCAUUCAUUCAGGGUGUGAUGCACAAUCCGAUAAGUGGGUUUGCCCCCAGACCCAGUGAGUGAUUUGUUGUGCGUGAGCGUGUUCUGGAGAUGAUCCGUGUGAUUAAUCAAAGCUGGGUCAGGCAUGGAAGAAUCAAAAUGAUUUUUUUUUUUAAGUGGUUUGAUUUAGUUCCGUGAAAGAGCUAUAACUGAUGUAGCUAUUGCAAGAGCUACUCUUACUCAUAUAUGGAAUGCACUUAUUGGAACAGCUUGGCAGUAUAUAUAUAUUCUAAAUGUAUUUCACUUUGAUGUAAUGCAAGGGAGAGAAAUGUUUCGUUGCUCAUAUUAACCUAAUUAUGUAAACCAAAGUGCUGUUGUCCCUGAUGAAUGUAAGCUGUUCAAAAUGUCCAAGUAGUCGGUGGAGCUGUAGAGUUAUCUUACUUAGAUUUGAAAUACGGGAUUACAUUUGGAGUUUUUUAAGAAAAUCUUUAUAUUCCUAGAUGUUGCAUUUUAAGCCUAUAAUUUAUUUUGUGUCUGAUGUUGUUCCGUGUGCAGCGGUCUGUCUUCUGAAUGGAAAUGAUGCACACCUCAUAACUGAAGGCUGGAGAUUUGUUCUGUGCUCUGUUUUUAAAUACAUCGUGUGGAGGAUGUGGGGGUUUUGUUUGCCACUGAUUAUAUUUAUGCCAGUGCAAUCCCUCAUGUGGACGCAGUUACAUGAGUAUAAAGUGCCUUGUGCUGGUAUUUCCUUAUUUACCUUCUGCAUAGGAAUAAACCUUACCAGCCUAAGCACUUUCAAGCUAAUAACUGUAUCUUCCCCAAGGGUUUGGUCUGUUAGGACAGCUUAGUCAAUGGAACAGUUCGCUGCCCCUGAGGAGGGAUUUCCUUGGUGUCCUUCCUCCUCCCCUGCUCCCGUUCCGCAGCAUCUGACUGCUUUGCUCGUACCUUUACAGCUCUGGUGCUUGUCUGUUCCCUCCACAGGACAAAUCAGCCUACUGAGCCAGCAGAAAACAAAGAAAAAAAAAAGGGGGGGGGGUGGGGGGGAACACGACACAUUUGCUGCAGGCUCAGCUCUCUGAAGGAUCGAUGGACACUGGGAUAGAAGCAGCCAGGGUCUGUGCCAGGAGCAAUGGGUGGGCUGCUUUGGAGAUGCUAGGUCAGCUCAGCACUUGGAGAGCCAUGUGCUGUGUCUGUAGCAGAGUCAGGUGGCAUGGCUUUCAUGGUUGGACAGCCCUCAGGCUUGUGGUGAAUGAAAAAAAUAUCAGAUCACUGUUAAACUGAAUGAAACAAACUCAGGUAGCUGCACUGCUGACUUUUCUAUACUUCCUAUCUAGUCUGUGGGGUGUAUUUUCCAAAACUGUAUUGUAUUUUAGAAGUGCGUCCGCUCAGAGAAGAUUGUUUCCUAAUUCUGUAUGACCUCCUGGAAAACAUAUAAAAGUGCCAUAUUUACUCAGUGAUUCGUGUACUGCUCAUAUGUAUAUUCAUGUGCAAUUGCAUACUAGAAGACUUUUCUGUGAACUAUAGUAUUUGGCUUGGAAUGGAUGGACUUCUUGUGGAUGAUGCUUCAGGCAUGGUUUGUAUGAGUUCAUAUAAUUAAUUACACUAAUCAGGUGCCUAAUAACUAAUACAAUUGCCAGAAUAUAAGAAAGUCAUUUAACAUUAUUGCUUAAAAAUAAUACAAGUCUUCCUUGGUAGCAGAAGCAGAGGUGACAGUGCCUCAAAAAUAAGAAGACAAUCUUAAUUGUGCAUUAAGCCUGAAAAACAAAACUGCUUUGAGAUCAAAAUCGGGUGGUGUGCACUUCCACCUUUGUCACAGUUAGGAUGGAUAUCAUGCUGACCUUGUGCAUCCAACCAGUUCAGCAGCUUCUGCAAAUUGUGAUUGUGAAGCGCCUGCUCCGAGUCUCAUAUCGCAUUUCUGGCACUUGCACUAAUUCUUGUGUUGAGUGGUGACAUGUCCUGUAAGAAUGCCAAGGAAAAACUUUGAGAUUUGACCAAAUGGACAAACACCUUAAUCCUGCAGCAAGAAUCUUAAUUUGUCGAUAGACCUGCCUAGUGUUACGUUGCAAUAUAGUGCACCCAGGAAAAAGUGAAAUAAAACGUUCUUUUAU
ensembl:lncRNA